GUCUCCGCCACGCUGCCGGCGACAGGGACGCUGAGCACCCGCCACCGCGGCCCGGCCUUCCGGCGGCCCCUUUCUCCGCGCGGCGCACCGGGGCCUGGCCGGGCGGCAAGGUCGGAAUGCGCCGGCACCGACCUUUAGAGGGUCAGGCGGGGACCUGGGGAACCCGACCGGGAGCCUCCCUUACAGGGCCCCAGCCUCAACGAUGCCAUAUUUUGCAAAAGAGAAAAGAGUACGGAGCCCUCCCCCCUCACUUAGCCGUCCUCCUUCUAAGUUCUCACCCUCUGGGAGACCCCUCCUCCUUAGUGAGGCCCCUCCCCUCGCCGAGGCCCCUCCCGACACUGAUUCUUUGUCCCUCAGUCUCAUUCAAUGCGCCCCAGUCCCCCCCACUGAGCCCCCUCUUCCCUCGUUGAGCCCCUUUCACUGAUCCCUGCAGCCUUAACCCCAGCGUCCUAUUCCAGAGGCCCCAUCCCCUCCCCCGCUCCCCUUUUCCCUCACUGAGCCCCGCUUUCUCAGAGAGCCCCUUCCCCCUUUCUUAGCUGCCCCCUCUCUGAUAUCUGUCCGUCCUUAAUCCCACGGUCCCUGAGCCCCCUCCCCUGCCGGAGUGCCUCCUUCCAGCCCCUGCUGCAUCUCUGAAAUAUUCAUAUCCUCUCCUCGCCCUCCUCUCUGCAGCCUCCGGAGGCCUGGCGGCUCUGCUCCCGCUGCCAGGCUGUCAUCAAUCACUGCCCAGUGGCGGUCGGCACAGGCCUCUGCACCCUGCCCGCCCCGAUGCUCCCCAUCCGUCUUGCCGAGCUCUCCGCUUCACUCAGCGGGGACCGCGUCAUCUUGUCCCAGCUACGGGCUUAGGAGCCCCCAGCCAUCUUCUGCCACAGGUGUUUGCUCCCUGCGGGCACUUGGAAGAGUGGAGAUUUUCCCUAAAGGCCUCUGGGCUUAAGGCAAGAGCAGGAACUUUGAAGCUGCAGAUGUGCCCUCAUUACGUACUGUCCCUGAGUCGCUGUGUGACCCAGUGCCUGUCAUGCCCCCUCUCUGAGCCUCUUCUCCAAGAUGAGAACGCUAAUUACGUUACAGCGGUGUUGGAACAGUUCACUGAGGUCCCAGAUGCCGUGUAACUUUGUUUUUUACUGAACACGCCCGGGAAUAACCCUCCAAAGGCCCAGCUCCAGGGUGAUGCGCCCCUUCCAUCUUCCAUUUUUCAUUCUGUGCUGGCUUAGCCAGUGCCCCUCCCAGAUGGAGGCUCAGCCCUGUUUCACCGGGCUCGUCUUUUUCCUGCCCAGAGUGAGGGAGGCCAGGGCUUGGAUGGCAGAGCAUUAAGGACGUGACAUAAGCUUUGGAUUCACACAGACAGGUCUGAAUUCAGGCGUGACCACGCUCACCGAGCCUGCAGCUCCUUAUCUAUACAACGAGGAAAAGAAUAUCCCAGCUUUGAGGAGAGGAUUAAGUCAGAUUCUGUGAAGCUCCUGACAUGAGGCCUGGUCAUGCACACACGGUCACCAUUGCUAGAUGGAGGACCUCUGUCACACACUCACACACCAACACUUCCUCUUCCAGGGAGAAAAGUGGUUUUGACACGUGAAAGAGAAACAGAGCAAGGAAGGCAGAUCACAGCUACAAGGUGAAAGGAUUUUCAGGGACAAAUCUGCAGCAGGGCACCCACUAAGCAGCUCUUGGAAGACUGAGUUUUGGAUUUGAAAAAAAAAGGAUGUAACCCAUACCUGACAGGGUUGGCUGGCCUUGAGGCUCGUGUCAAGAAUGCCAUUUGGAUCCCAAACGCUAUCCUGGCCCUGGCAGCCUAGAAGUCACACAGGUGUGAUGGGAGGUGCUUCUGGGGUGGUGGAGGCUCAUGUCAUUCCCCCGACCCUGCAGAGCCCGCACAUCCCUUCAUUCAAACCUCUCUGCUCUUCCCCGUGCUCCUCUUCCUGAAGCCAGUGGCCUCCUACUUCCCAUCCCUGAAAUCUCCAACUCCUGGGCCUGUCCCAGGGCCCAUUGCCCCCACACAGCCCUCAGCCCUACAAACGCCUGACACAUAAAACACAGUCUUUAGCAAAACUGAAGGGCGCCACAAACAUCGUGUGGGUGAGCCAGCGGGAGGAGGGAGCUUCCGUUUAUCCUAACACAAAAAUGACGAAGGUUACUUACAAACGAAAACAGCUCAGUUUGGGUCUUGCCUUCUGCAGGAAUCCUUCCUCGCCUCCUAAUACCCAAGGUGGGUUAGCCACUGAAUGCAGGCCCUCGCUGAGCCCUCCUCGUUCUGCUGGCUGCACCCCUAGAGACAUCUUUCCUUUCUACCUCUGUCCCAGGGACAGAGCUCCCUGCCGUCUGCCCCAUCCUCCCUCCCUGGGACCUUAUCAUUUGACUUCUCUCACUUUCCAGUCCUUUCUGGGAGGUUGACCUUGUCUGCUGGGAGCACCGGAAGACAGGCGUGGGGAGAUCCAGGCUCAGGGAGAUGCACAAGGUUUCAGAACCUUCUGGAGCCUGAUGGCCAAUUGACAGAUGAAUGAAUCCAGACAGAAGAGGAGGAGGGUUCCAGGCAAAGGGGCUGCCCUCUCCGUUCACUCACUCAGCCUGUGUGCCAGGCCUGCCCGGGGCCGGGAGGCAGGGGCAGGGGUGGCAGGAACAAGGGCCUCUCCUGUAGCUCCUCAUGGCACAGGGCAAAAAUAUGACAGGUGCAUAUGAUACUAAUCUAAGGCAGGUGCCGCGUGCUGUUCUGAACACUUUACAUAUAUUUAUCUCAUUCAGUCAUUUAAUACUCAACAAGCCUCUGAUGUGGGUAUCAUCACUGAUAUCCUCAUAGCAAAAAUAGGAGGCAUGGAGAGGUCACACUAUGUAUAAAAUUAGACACAUGGAAAAAAAAAAACACCGGCAUUUGCUCAUUGUUUUAGGAAGUAGCAUAUGAAUAUUGUUUUCCAGAAACCCUCUCUCCCAAACAUUUUGUUAUAUUACAUAACUAUGAAAACAAUUAUUCUUUUUUUUAAAGUAUCCGGAGUAAACUUUAAUGGUUCUGUGCUCUUGCAAACCAAGAUGCAAUAUAAUCUUAUGUCCAUAUAUGGGAGGUGCAUUAUAUAGUGAUGAAAACAAUUAUUCUUAAAGGUUGUCUAUUAAAGUGAAACAAAGAACCGAUAACAGACAUAGAAGUAAAGAAAACAUUGUAUAUAUCCCAAAGAGGAGAAGAUUUUACUUUUCUCCCAGGAAUAAAGUGGUUUUUAGAGGCA